rnacentral:misc_RNA from 1 species
AAAGUCGUAACAAGGUUUCCGUAGGUGAACCUGCGGAAGGAUCAUUAAUGAUUGGCCCAACGGCCUUAUCAAUAUUAAUCCCAACACCUCUGUGAACCGUUUUUGGCCUCUGGGCUGAUUUUUACAAUGCAAACAUUGUGUAAUGAACGUCUUGUUAUCUUAACAAAACAAAACUUUCAACAACGGAUCUCUUGGCUCUC